UACAGAGGGUGCGAGCGUUGUCCGGAAUCACUGGGCGUAAAGGGCGCGUAGGCGGCGCGGAAAGUCAACGGUGAAAGCUUGGGGCUCAACCCCGAGUCGGCCGUCGAUACUUCCGUGCUCGAGCACUGUAGAGGCAGGUGGAAUUCCGGGUGUAGCGGUGGAAUGCGUAGAGAUCCGGAAGAACACCGGUGGCGAAGGCGGCCUGCUGGGCAGUAGCUGACGCUGAUGCGCGACAGCGAUGGGGAGCAAACAGG
rnacentral:rRNA from 1 species